rnacentral:rRNA from 1 species
GACGUAGGGGGCAAGCGUUGUCCGGAUUUAUUGGGCGUAAAGAGCGUGUAGGCGGCCAGGUAGGUCCGUUGUGAAAACUAGAGGCUCAACCUCUAGACGUCGAUGGAAACCAUCUGGCUAGAGUCCGGAAGAGGAGAGUGGAAUUCCUGGUGUAGCGGUGAAAUGCGCAGAUAUCAGGAAGAACACCCGUGGCGAAGGCGGCUCUCUGGGACGGUACUGACGCUGAGACGCGAAAGCGUGGGGAGCGAACAGG